AUGGACGCAAGUCUGAUGGAGCAACGCCGCGUGAGUGAAGAAGGCUUUCGGGUCGUAAAACUCUGUUGUUGGAGAAGAAUGGUCGGCAGAGUAACUGUUGUCGGCGUGACGGUAUCCAACCAGAAAGCCACGGCUAACUACGUGCCAGCAGCCGCGGUAAUACGUAGGUGGCAAGCGUUAUCCGGAUUUAUUGGGCGUAAAGCGAGCGCAGGCGGUUUUUUAAGUCUGAUGUGAAAGCCCUCGGCUUAACCGAGGAAGCGCAUCGGAAACUGGGAAACUUGAGUGCAGAAGAGGACAGUGGAACUCCAUGUGUAGCGGUGAAAUGCGUAGAUAUAUGGAAGAACACCAGUGGCGAAGGCGGCUGUCUGGUCUGUAACUGACGCUGAGGCUCGAAAGCAUGGGUAGCGAACAGGAUUAGGUACCCUGUAGUCCAUGCCGUAAACGAUGAAUGCUAGGUGUUGGAGGGUUUCCGCCCUUCAGUGCCGCAGCUAACGCAUUAAGCAUUCCGCCUGGGGAGUACGACCGCAAGGUUGAAACUCAAAGGAAUUGACGGGGGCCCGCACAAGCGGUGGAGCAUGUGGUUUAAUACGAAGCAACGCGAAGAACCUUACCAGGUCUCGACAUCUUU
rnacentral:rRNA from 2 species